rnacentral:rRNA from 1 species
AGAGUGAACGCUGGCGGUAGGCCUAACACAUGCAAGUCGAACGGCAGCACAGUGGUAGCAAUACCAUGGGUGGCGAGUGGCGGACGGGUGAGGAAUACAUCGGAAUCUACCUUUUCGUGGGGGAUAACGUAGGGAAACUUACGCUAAUACCGCAUACGCCCGUUUGGGGGAAAGCCGGGGAUCGCAAGACCUGGCGCGGAUAGAUGAGCCGAUGUACGGAUUAGCUAGUUGGUGAGGUAAUGGCUCAACCGAAGGCGACGAUCCGUAGCUGGUCUGAGAGAUGAUCAGCCACACGUGGAACUGAACGACACGGGUACCAGACUCCGUACGGGAGGCAGACAGGUAGGGAAUAGUUGGACAGU